AGCAGCGAGCAGGUCCCACGGAGUUCAAGGGGAGUACGCGUGUGAGGCUGCAGCCGCUAGUGCUGCUGAUUCCCCUGAGGAGACCAAAUGGGACGCGCCGUGGCGGCGCGCUCUUUUCCCGUCUCCGAUUGGGGGGCGGGGGGAGUAGCUGAUGGGUGACCCCCCCCCCCAUAACAACGUGUCACGAGCUCCCACCGCCGAAGAAGUGCCCCGCCUCCGUCCCCCUGGUGCUUGCAGAGAGCUUGCCACCCCCUGGUUUCCGCGGAGGCCGAGAGCCAGCGAGGAGGGAAGCGGGCUUCGGUGGUGACUCAGGGGUCACUCACUCCCGCAGCAGUCCACAUGGCCGGGAGCGUGUGCCUCCCGCUAGGCUCAGCCAUGUGUCAACAAACACCAGCCGAGGCGCUGCUGCUGCUGCUGCCGCCGCCGCCCUUGAAAGGCUGCUCGGCUUCCCAAGUGCCAGAGGCAACAACAACACUCCAGACACAGUCCCAGUUCGGAAGGCAAACCCACUUGGGUUAAAAUUACAUCUUGCGCCGUGAGUUGAGGCUCGAAAACCAGAGUAUCGGUGUGGAGCGGAGCUCAUGAAAUUGAUUUGCUGGGUUCUUCAGCAGGCUUCAUAUUUGGUGGUGGCAGGAAAGCUGCCAGACCUGACAAAUCUCCAAGAUGAAGGAAAGGAGAGAUAUUCUUCCAACCACCUGCAUUGUAUAUAAAUAAAUACAGCCAAGAAAGUCCAGUUGUACAACAGCAAAAGCACGCGUGUUUCUCUGCUCUCCUUGUCUAAGCUAAUGUGGAUCACAAAGCUACUAAGUGAGACUAGUAUAUUUGCUGCUUUGACAGAAAGCAACCUCAUUCAAAGAGCCACAGAACAAAAGAAAGGAGGGAAGAAGCCAAGACUGAAAAGAAAUUAAAUACAAAGGAAAGCAACUUUGCUUUGUACUGGGGAAGAUCAGCUGGUCAGCAACACACAAGCUCAUUGCAUGAGAUAGGAUCUUCAUUAUGGGAAGGGCAGUGGGGGAGGAAGGGGCGGCACAUAAAAACACACACACACAAAAGCCAGUUGGCUUCCAUUAUAGUCUAAUAGCAGACAUUUUUUCUCUUUCCACAGGAAAGACAAACUAAUGUUCUGCAGCUACAUUAAGAUUUUAUCACUUCAAGCUUUUGUGGGAUUUUUUUCCUCUUUCCAAUGUUCCUUCUUAUGUAACACACACAUGCUGGGCCAAGGAGAGGCAAAGUUGCUGCUCCUCCCCUCACCCCCGCUUCUGCUCAAGGCAGCCAAUGUGCCUUUCCUAUUUAUUUAUUUGAACUUCUAUCCCGUGUUUUCUUACAGAGAGUAUUGUGGGCAGGCUGCACAUGUUUAGAAGAUUCCAUUUUUUAAAAAAGCCAUGGAUGAGUCCCAGAUUGCUAUGAAAACAUAACUGCCUCUUAUUUUAUUUAUUCCAUCUUUUCUCCAAAGAGCUCAAAAUUACAUACAUGGUUUCUGUACAUGCGUGCACACAUGCACGCACACACACACAUGACGCAUGCACACGUACAUUGCAAUUAUCAAUAUAUUUAUUUUGGUCUUUGACCAGCAUAAGGUAAAAGGAGACAUACAAGCUGUGAAAUUAGCAACUAUUAACAUUAAAAGCAGUAGAAUCUAUGCCUAGAAACUUGAGCCAUAGAGUUAAAAGGUAGUGACAUUAAAGCUGUAAAACUAGAAUCUAUAAGUCUAUAUCAAUAAAAUCUAUAAAAAGCUAUAAAAUCUAUAAAAAGCUACAAAAGCUAUAAGACUAAAAUGAUGACUCUAAACUAUAAUAAAAGUAAUAGGAUAUACUCUGUGCUAUCUAAGAAGUUGAGGCAAUAAAAACAGUAGGAUUGAGUAAGUGCACAACAAGUAUAAGCUAUGUCAGGCCUCGUUAAGAGCCCAAUGAAUAUUACAUGCUGCUGCGCAGAACUUGGCCACAUUGUCUGUUAUGUGGGGGUUGCAAUCAGAAAGUAGUAGAGAGAUGUAGAAUUGGCCUGUAUGGCCUGGCAACCUGGCGAGUAGUGGUGGGAGGAUAAGGGCAUUGCAGAUGUCACUGUAAAACAGGCUGUGUGGUAGAACAUGUUUGGUGGUUUCAACUUGCCCAGCAUCACUGGGGCACAAACGUUCUGGCAAGGGGAUGCUCAUAUAUCUUCCAUCUAAAACAGCCAAAGAGAGGGCACACACUGCAAUUUUAUCCUGUCAACCACUGUGUGGACCUUUUCACACAAUAGUAUCUUUUUCAGUUCCCACUGUCAUGCCCUCACCCACAGAUAACAAUGAGGAGUGGGAGCCCGGCAACCCUCUAGUGGGCAAAGAGGCACCUGAAAGGGAGAGCUCGGUUGUCAGGCCGCAGGAGGUAGCUGAGAUGAGCCAGAGUGAAGGUUCAGGACAACAAGACCCGUCGGGAGCAGAGAUGGAAGGCCAAACCCUGAGCUGGAGAACAAUCAACCAUUAACCCCCACAAGAGCAGAGACGUGCAAAACACCAACAGCAGGUGCAGGCACUCAGAAGAAGUCAGUGCCUCCUUGGCAGGCAAGAUAAGCACUGAAUCUCUAACAGCUGGCUGGGGAAGGAGAGCAAUUAAGCCAAGGACUAUAAAUCAGCCGGCAGGCAACAAACAAGCUGCUGGAAACAAUGUGUUGGUUGAACUUGCUGCAUACCAAACCUUCUGUUAUGUGGAAUUCCCAGCUUUGUGGUGGAACUCUAGAGUUCUGGGCUUCCCCUGCUUGUAACCUGAUUCCUGAGUGACUUCAUCUGGGAUGAGCUGCUGGUGACGCCUUUGACCCUUGGCUCAGGAUGUUUGGGAUCUGAUGUGGAGUGACUCCUGAGCUACCGGCCUCUCUGGAUAGAGACCAGGGACCAGACUGUGGACAGACAAGCUUGUGACACCUGUCUACUUAAUGAUGGGUUCCCCUGCAGGCUCCAGACACAUAUUUUGAGUUCUGAAGAAAGUUCUCAUUUCUCCUUGUGAGUCUUGGUGCUCCAGCCAGAGGCAAAGCACUUUCCUCCUGUUAUUUUUGGAGCACCUCCACUGGCCAACACUUUCCUUCCCAUCUUUAAAAUGGCCAUGAAAAGAGACAGUUUUCUGUUCCCCCAAGGGUGCUGGUUAGAAGGGAGAACUAUAGGCAGUUUGAGUCAGGACACUAUCACCACAGUCUAGAAUGCUUCCACUCCUGAGAGUCAGCUAGCACCAGAAAGCCAAUCCCCAGAGGUGCAGCUAUAAUUGAACAAGGUGGGACAAAUGUAUUUUUCUUUUCCUAACAGCAGCUGUGGGAAGGCUGAUCUGGAAUGGGGUCAUGGCACACAGGGGGCUUUAACCAUUUUAUCCUGAGCCAAUUUCCCCAGUGCAAAUCCUUUCCUGCUGGAGCUACUCAUAGAUGCAGUGGGGGCGUGGUGCAUACUAUACAAUUGCUUGUAUGCUUUCCACAGGUGUCAGCUGAUUUGUAUCAGGGAAUCACUGUGCAGGGAGGGUUAGAUCGCCCUCCCCUACAUCAUAGCCCUUAAUGACUUUGGUCUCCCACAGUUGUGUUUAGGAAAAGAAAUGGAGAUCUAUUCACAGAUCUCACACAUCACAUGGUCAAGCCUUGACCAUGCUCCAAAACAGAUAACAGCAGGGAGUGUGAGUCCAGCACAAACAAGCAAGCAUCAAAGGGGUAAUUUAGUGUGGUAUUUAAUGUGGUUGGGUCAGGCUGGGGUCAGGCAUUGGACCAGUCAGGCAGAGAUCAAAAGAAGCCAGAGGCAGAAGAAACAACUGAGGGUGGGCAGAUGGUCAAGUACCAGAUCAAGAGGAGAAGGAGUGGAAGGGCUAGAGGUAGAUGACAUGGUCAAGGACAGGCUGGUGGUCAAAGACCAGAUCAAGCAGAAGAGCAAGGCAAGAUAAUGUGGCGUUGCUACUUUGUGGGCUGAGUUGCUCUAACUGAGGAGUGGAACAGUGUUCUAUAGAGGCCAGCAAGUUUCUAUAGAUUUCUUGGGUUACCCAGUACUAUCUCCAGCCAUCUGGUGCCAUCCAGACCCGUAGCCACAUGAUGGCAUGGAGUGUACCUGCCUCCUCCAAAAACUCUUCCUCCCCAGCGGCCUUCAGGAGCUCAGCUGAGGAGGGAGGAGAGAAUAGCUUGCAGCCUCCUGUGCCAGCACUCCAGCUCCUCCUCCUCCUGUUCCCGCCGAGUGAGCAAGCAGCUGCUAGGCUGUGCUUUUGUCUUCUACCGCCUGCGCACCUGCUCAAAGAACCAGUGUGAGCGAGGCCGGCUCGAGGCACUGAGAGAUGGCUGGAGAGAGGCUCUGUAGCUGCAGCACAGAGCAACAGAACAUGGAGGAGGAGAGAGAGGACUAAUCUCUAGUCCUCCCCUUCAGCUGGGCAAUCAAUAUCUUGCUGAAAGGAAAUUUGUGGGAGACAACUUUGUGGGAGACAGUGGGAGGAAAGAAGAAAAGUCUUGGAAAAGAGAGUUCAGAAAACAAAAGGAACAGAGAGAAGUGAGGGGACAGAGAAAUGAGCCAUGGACAGGGAAGUUCCAGCAGAUGAGGAAGAGAGUUUAGAGUAGAGGAGAAUGGUAAUAGUGCCCAUUGGCUUAUUAAAAAUGUUGAGCAGUCAUGUUUGCGGUCUUGCUCCUUUUAUUUUCAAAAGUGAACCAUUAACUGGUUCUGCAGUAUGAUGGCGAUGCAAAACUGUGGCUGACCUUGCUAUGGAUAACCUCUGUGUAUGUGUAAUCUGUUUUAACUUUUUACUGUCAUUUGUUUUAACAAAUGUUUUAAUUUUUGUUGUUGUCAUUUGUUUUAAAUAAUGUUUUAACUUAUCUGUUGUUGUCAUUUGUUGUAAACCACCCAGAGACGCAGGUUUUGGGUGGUAUAAGAAUUUUUAAAAAAAUAUCAUCGGGCAAGUGUCUGUCUUGGUA